UACGUAGGGCGCAAGCGUUGUCCGGAAUUAUUGGGCGUAAAGAGCUCGUAGGCGGUCUGUCGCGUCUGCCGUGAAAACCCGAGGCUUAACCUCGGGCUGGCGGUGGAUACGGGCAGACUAGAGGUAGGUAGGGGAGAAUGGAAUUCCCGGUGUAGCGGUGAAAUGCGCAGAUAUCGGGAGGAACACCGGUGGCGAAGGCGGUUCUCUGGGCCUGAUCUGACGCUGAGGCGCGAAAGCUAGGGGAGCGAACAGG
rnacentral:rRNA from 1 species